rnacentral:lncRNA from 1 species
ACCAAUCAACCAGUUACGGAAGCUCUCCGAUCCAAGCACCAUUCCAAUCGGCUAUCCGGCUGACAAUCCCACAAUAUCAACCGGCCUCAUCAGAAAUCGGCAGGGGGCAGACACUGCAGAAACACUCAGAGGCGCGGCGCCGAUGAUGCUGUACGAUGGGACGACAGAUUCGCUACGCCACCAACUGUCAACUGCUCAACCGGCCACGUUGCCGCAAAAUCCGCCACACGCUUUGAUCCAUCACCCGGCCAUCCCACCGCCGAUCCAUCAGCAUGUGCCAAUCCCUCAACCAGUCAUUCAUCAGCAGCAAGUGGAUUGAACAGCAAGGAUAGCAGAGGUGAUUCAAGAUCAAUUCGGGUUGAAGCCGAAGGUACAGACCUAUACGUACAAGAUGCCAUAUCCACCUGCCUACGACCUGCUGCCAUUUCCC